rnacentral:misc_RNA from 1 species
GAAAUGCGAUAAGUAGUGUGAAUUGCAGAAUUCAGUGAAUCAUCGAAUCUUUGAACGCACAUUGCGCCCCUUGGUAUUCCAUGGGGCAUGCCUGUUCGAGCGUCAUUUGUACCCUCAAGCUCUGCUUGGUGUUGGGUGUUUGUCCCGUCUCCGCGCGUGGACUCGCCCCAAAGUGAUUGGCAGCUGGCGUACUGGUCCCGGAGCGCAGCACAUGUCGCGCAAACGAGUGCCUUGGUACGGCGGCGUCCAUAAGCCCCUCUCUCACGCUCUUGACCUCGGAUCAGGUAGGGAUACCCGCUGAACUUAAGC